GACAGAGGCCCCAAGCGUUAGGCGGAAUCACUGGGCUUAAAGCGUGUGUAGGCGGAUCGUUAAGUGUCUUGUGAAAUCCCACGGCUCACCCGUGGAACUGCUGGGCAUACUGGCGAUCUUGGGCCAACUAGGGGCAGUCGGAACAAGCGGUGGAGCGGUGAAAUGCGUAGAUAUCCGGAGGAACACCAAAGGCGAAGGCAGUGUCCUGGGGAGUACCUGACGCUCAGGUGCGAAAGCCAGGGGAGCGAACGGG
rnacentral:rRNA from 1 species